GACGAACGCUGGCGGCGUGCCUAAUACAUGCAAGUAGAACGCUGAAGGAGGAGCUUGCUCUUCUGGAUGAGUUGCGAACGGGUGAGUAACGCGUAGGUAACCUGCCUGGUAGCGGGGGAUAACUAUUGGAAACGAUAGCUAAUACCGCAUAAGAGUAGAUGUUGCAUGACAUUUACUUAAAAGGUGCAAUUGCAUCACUACCAGAUGGACCUGCGAUGUAUUAGCUAGUUGGUGGGGUAACGGCUUACCAAGGCGACGAUACAUAGCCGACCUGAGAGGGUGAUCGGCCACACUGGGACUGAGACACGGCCCAGACUCCUACGGGAGGCAGCAGUAGGGAAUCUUCGGCAAUAGACGGAAGUCUGACCGAGCAACGCCGCGGGAGUGAAGAAGGUUUUCGGAUCGUAAAGCUCUGUUGUAAGAGAAGAACGAGUGUGAGAGUGGAAAGUUCACACUGUGACGGUAUCUUACCAGAAAGGGACGGCUAACUACGUG
rnacentral:rRNA from 1 species